GCCAGUGUGGUGUUGUGGUUUGAGUAUUGGACUAUAACUCUGGAGACCAAGGUUCAAUUCCCUGCUUGGCCA